rnacentral:tRNA from 1 species
GUCGUGGUGGCCGAGUGUUUAAGGCGUUUGACUCGAAAUCAAAUGUGCUCUGCCCGCACAGGUUCGAAUCCUGUCCACGACG